rnacentral:rRNA from 1 species
UACGUAGGGUGCAAGCGUUAAUCGGAAUUACUGGGCGUAAAGCGUGCGCAGGCGGUGAUGUAAGACAGGUGUGAAAUCCCCGGGCUUAACCUGGGAAUGGCAUUUGGGACUGCAAGGCUUGAGUGCGGCAGAGGAGACUGGAAUUCCUGGUGUAGCAGUGAAAUGCGUAGAUAUCAGGAGGAACACCGAUGGCGAAGGCAGGUCUCUGGGGCUGACACUGACGCUCAUGCACGAAAGCGUGGGGAGCAAACAGG